rnacentral:lncRNA from 1 species
GUCCCUACUCCUAUUUGGUUUAGCUAAAUAAUUGAUAAGAAUCUAAAUCUAAAGUCAAAUUCAACAAUUUAUUUAACCAUACAUAGAACUCACAAUUUGUAUUAACUUCCAAAUCACAUUUCAUGAUUUUCCCAUGGAUUUUGCUUUAAAAAUCUUGAAAACCCAGAGGGGAGCCUAAAGGUGAACUCAUUUUUUUCAUACAGGUUUAUUGAGAUAGUUGCGGGUUGAUUUGUGGAGGAGCCACCAUUUCCGUCGCCUGUUGCAACAGAAGUUGAAGAUUGUAAGCCUAUUACCGCUUUUCCAACGAACUCGAUGAUAGCGGGACCCAGUUCUAUGUAUCCUCCACCACCAGCUGUAGGGUAUUUAUCCAAUGGCUAAAGAAAAUGCACAAUAUCCACUCUGUCGUCCACAUGGGGUGGAUCAGCAAUGUAGCAAUUGGGAUCACACACUUGGAUGUGUGGGUUCUGAACAACCUUCACAUCAUUUACACAGUUCGAUUCCACUACCAAGAUGUCCAAACUGUGAGCUCUAGCAAAGUGUAAGCCUUCCAAGAAUGUAACAUUCCGCCAAAUAAGGGGAAAUGCUACUGUGAAAAGACUUUUAGAAGCUAACGGCUAGCUAUUACCAGACCUUUAUCGUUAACAAACCACUCCAACAAUGCCAUAGCUCUUGCCGGCCACUUGUAAAACAACAUUUGCUUUCAACUCUAGGCAAUUUAAUGUCAGUCGCUACCAAGGUGGGAACAACAGAAGCAGAUGACGGCCUGUUAAUAUUGUCUUGAACCCGGAUAGCUUUGGAUUAUGUUUGAUAUUUGAUUUGGGGGUUUUUGUUGGGCCACCCCAAAAGAAAAUAUGAAGAAGUCAAAAGAGAAACAGUAACUGCUUAUCGCGGGAAAGAAAGACAGGUAGCGAGUGAAUUUAGCAAAAUUCAGGUACAUGAUUGACGCCUCAGUUGCCAUCUCUGAAGGGAAGUGGUAGUGGCAGCAGGUGAGUGGGUGGUUAUUUCAUUUUGGGGUGGGGGAGCAGAUUCUCUUUUUAUUUUUUGGUUAGUUGUUUUAAUUUCAUUAGAGAAAAUGUCAAUAUACCAUCUCACACUUUUAAUAUUGGUCGAAAUAUAGUUCAAGUCAACUUUUUUGAUAAGUUAACGAUCAAACGAAAUGAAAAGUUUGGGAUUAUGGGUGACAAAAAUGAAAGAUUUGGUUAAAGUCUACAAAAGAAUGAAAGGUUUGGGAUCGCAACUACAAUAAUCCCUUUUAACUAAGCCUCAAUGUGUUCCACAGCAAACAAAGAUGUAGACUUCAAUGGUCAUAUUUGAGGAAACAGAGUUUGGCUCAAAGGGAGCAAUGAAAUCACAAUAAAGACUGUUACUUUAGUUGGCAAUUUACAAACCAGAAUAAAUUGCAGCUUCUUGGUAAGAAAUAAAGGCAACCAAAAGCACUCAACUCUCCCCUGUAGAUGAUACUGGGCAUUCAUAUGACUUCCUUUUAUGGUUAUUUGUAACCCUAAAGGUCUCUCUCUUUUUGUAAUUUGAGGCCUAAAAGGCUCCAUGAGAAAGGGGAAAAAAAAAAAAUUAGAUUAUACAACUAUCUUAUAGUAUUAAAAUCCAAUAUCAAACGUCUAAAAUCAAUAUAAAAGAGGAAAGAAAAUCCUAGAAAACUAAUAUCAGAAAAUUUAAAUAACAAAUAAUAAUACAUUAAAUAAUUGAAAUUGGCAUGAGUUUCUUGUUCUACGUCAAGGCAGUUUGAAUUAAUUAUAAUAUUUGUUUGCCCUGUUCACUCCAUGUUUAUUACAUUUAUUAAAUGAUUUCAACCCUUUGUAAAUGACAAUGGCCAUUUUUUUUGUGACGAGAUGAUGAUAUCAACUUACCAAUUACUGCCCCAUAAUGAAUAUUCGCAUAAGGUUCUUCACCCGUUUGGAUCUCCCACAGUGCUAUGCCAAAUGAAUAUACAUCAACCUGUC